CUUUCAAGACGCUCGUGUUUCUCUAGUUAUAUUUUCAUUAAUUGAUCCUUUUGAUUUAACCGUAGGCUUGGUAUCUCAAAUCAAAAAUAAAGAUAAAGUGUAGGAGUUAAAAGCCCUGUGACGAUGCUGGGGAUUUGACUAGCAGACAUGAUAUAGUUCAGGUGAACCAGAACCAAUUCGUAAGAAGUAAAAAGGAGUAAAAAAAAAAAAAACAGGUGGACAAGCCAAAGAGUAAGAAUAUAGCAAGCAGGCAAAUUGCAUAGGAAACAUGCUAAAACAGUCACAAAGCACUUUAAAAUUUAUGAAAAAGCCGCCCAAGGGCCAUUAGCAUUCUGCGCAGCAAUACCAUGACACCAAUGAAAAUGAGAGAGAGCCACCUU
rnacentral:sRNA from 1 species